AAAAAGAAAAGCCAAAACUAAUAAUUUUUCUUUUAUGGAGUGAAGUGAGCUAGUUGUAGAUUCAUAUAUCAUUAUUUGGAAUGGCUUUUUGAUAUUCCCAUUUCAAGCAAGAGGCUUUCUAGUAAGAAAACAAAGAAAGGACACCAUAUUAUGUAUAUGUUACAUCUCGAACAUAUAUAAUAAGGAAGGACAAGCAUGGGAGGUGAAAACAAUGUUGUCGGUACAUGUUCAGGUACGAAGACAAUGAUGAUUUGGAGUGGAAGUGCCCAUACAUUUGGCAGUUUUUCUCAUCAGUCCUACAGUAGAAAGAUCUCUCAAGCUUAAACAAAUGUAAGAUGCGAUUGCCUUUUCUUCGACCUCUUCAAAUGAGUGAUUAAUUAUAUAGAUAUGGAGGCCAAUAGGUAGUUUUGUUAUAUCUCUGCAUAGAUUUCGUCCAGCUAAAAUAUAUCCAUGGUCUACGACAAUGAAUUACCGAAGGAAAACAGGACACAUGACCGUCGGCAUUUGCCUCGGUGACCGGGCUUGGCCUCCCUGAGCCAUGUCAGCAUUUGCCAAGACCGGCCUAUUUGCCGGUCAUAUUGCCGUUUUAUUCUCAAUUUGAAUACUCAAUGGUUCAUCUUUAAAGAAAUCCAAUGAAAUAGAAAGCUGUCAUUUUCAUUAUAUAACCACAAAACUGUGACUAAAAUCACAUGUACAAGACAUUUUUGUUAAUCUUAUUUACAUAGUUGCUAGAUGGUCAACAAAGGCCAUCUCAGCUCCAACAACUACCUACCACAUUUGCGUGAUCAGAGAGAAGCUCCCACAACUACCCUCAUCCACCACAUUUACAUGAUGACCGAGAGAAGCUCCCACAACUACCCUCAUUCACCACAUCUACAUGGUCACAGAGAGACAGAGAGCGAUCGAAAGAAGAUGCUGACCUGAAGCUAAGGCAGGCAUGUCAGGCGAGUGGCUGACCUUAAAGAAGAUGCCCUGGAAGCUCUCUAUGAGAAGAGAUUGAAGAAGAAGAAGGCCUUGCAGACACAUGAGGAGGAGGAGGAGGAGGAACCUGGAAUUCAAGUUGGUCCUUUGGAUGCUCUGCCUGUAAAGACCAUGCCUUUUUGCCUUUUGGCAAUCAGCGUUGAAAGCAUCCAAAACCAUCUGAAGAUGAAGGUGAAGGAGAAGAACACACCAAAGAGACAGAUCAAGUUCUGGUGAAGCUAUCUAAAGAUGAAAGGCGAGCUAAGAUCAACAAAAGCAAGAAAGAGGCUAAGAAUCAAGCGAAAGAGCUGCCUCCAGAUGAAGUGAGAGACGACCCCCAAAGAGCUAUUUCGGUACCGCAUCACUCCAACCACCCCUGCUGAGUUGAAAGAGGACAUCACUGCAGAAGAGUCAUUUGAAACUAAGAAGUGUAAACUUGGGGAGCUGGGAAUUGCUACGCUUGCUGAUCCGGAGUCUAAUUUUAAACUUCUAAAAAGGAAAUGCUGCAGAUGUGCAGUUGAUGAUUAUUAUGCUAUCGUUGAGCUUGGGCUUCUAUCUUUGUUGGCUGUGUUCGAAGACAUAAUUCCUGGCUACCACACUAGACUUCCUACUGAGAAGGAGCUCGAGAUGAUAGUUUCAAGGGAUGUCGAGAAGAUGCAGUAUUAUGAAUCGACACUUCUUUCCGCAUACAAGGUUUUACUCGAUUUGCUUGUGGUUGUUAAAAUAAGUGCUCUCAUUAGAAAUAGGACAAAAAAAAAAAACACUACAAAUCAUAAUUAACACGUUCCGGUUUAAGUUAUUGUAAAGUAGAUCAUUGUUGAUCUUAUGGACAAUUCCGUAGAAUAAGCCGUUUUUACCUUAUUUCUUUUGUAGAUAUGUGCUUUUUGGGUAGCAGAGGCACUAGGUUGAAUUUGAAUUUAGUUCGAUCUAAUUUUAUUUGCUCUGAUUUGAUGGUUUCCUUGUAUCAACAUGCCGUGAUUAGCUGCAGAUGCUGUUUCUCAUUGAAGAUGGGCAAUGCUUAUGGUAAGCAAAAGCAUCCAUAUAUACACACAUUCAGUCUGUUUAGGCAAACCCCUUAAUUCAUUAAGCUGGUUAUUGAAAGACAAAUUCACUUUUUAUACCUAUACUUUAGUAUAGAAAUCAUGGUAACGUCCGUCUUCACAUUCAUCUCCUUCUUCAUCAUAAUGAUGAUGAUUUGGAACCAGCAUGCUUCUUAUAAUCCUCUAUGUCCUUGCCUUCGGACUCACGGAAAACUAGUUCGAUGAUGAGGACAUAGAGAAUUAUAAGGAGUAUGUUGGUUUUCCAAAUCAUGACCAUCAUGAUGACCAUGGACGUGGAAGUGAUCAUGAAAACGGAUCCUACCACGAUUCCUAUAAUAGAGAUUUAUGGAUAAAACCCCAUUUUCUUUCAAUUACCCCAAUUUAAGCAGCUUAAUGAAUUAGGGAAUUUGCAUAAGGAGACUAAUGUGUCAGUAUAGUGUAAAUGAUUUUGCUUAUCAUAAGCAUUGGCUCUUCCUGAUGGCGAGGCUGACACCAACAUAUGCCUACAUGAGUAGGGUGUUUGACCUCAAGUAUAUGUAAAUCUGACCCUCGUUCCUCCACGAAGUUCGUGUUAGGAAAGCUCUCAAUAUUGUUCUGAAAGCGACACAAUGAUCAAAGCGAUACUAGUGCGUGCAUUGGUGGUGUGAAACCAGCUUGUAGAUGCAUAGGUCAAUAUGCAGAUGAGGGCCUAACAAGAACAUCUGCAAGCUGGAAGUGCUCUGCCUGAGGCGAACAGGGUAUUGGACGUCAAAGAUGGAGGCGAACAAGUUGUAGAACGAGGGACCAAAGACUUAUUUACUAAAUUUCGAGUCUAAGCAGCACAUCUACGACUGUAACUUCUUGAGUUUACUAGUGGUUUAGAACUGAAAUUAUUCGUGCUCUUCAACAGUGUAAUGACUUCUGCAGUGAAUUUGAAGUACCAUCACCCUCGCCUUCGCAAAUGGAA